rnacentral:rRNA from 1 species
GAAUUGACGGGACCGCACAAGCGGUGGAUGAUGUGGUUAAUUCGAUGCAACGCGAAAACCUUACCACCUUUGACAUGUACGGAAUCCUUUAGAGAUAGAGGAGUGCUCGAAAGAGAGCCGUAACACAGGUGCUGCAUGGCUGUCGUCAGCUCGUGUCGUGAGAUGUUGGGUUAAGUCCCGCAACGAGCGCAACCCUUGUCAUUAGUUGCUACAUUCAGUUGGGCACUCUAAUGAGACUGCCGGUGACAAACCGGAGGAAGGUGGGGAUGACGUCAAGUCCUCAUGGCCCUUAUAGGUGGGGCUACACACGUCAUACAAUGGAUGGUACAAAGGGUCGCCAACCCGCGAGGGGGAGCCAAUCCCAUAAAGCCAUUCGUAGUCCGGAUCGCAGUCUGCAACUCGACUGCGUGAAGUCGGAAUCGCUAGUAAUCGUGGAUCAGAAUGUCACGGUGAAUACGUUCCCGGGUCUU